rnacentral:lncRNA from 1 species
AUUUUCUUGUAUUAUUUAUGGUGCAUAAGUUGUAAAUGUAUUCAAACAAACUCGGUGAGGAAAAUGCUAAAGAAAAAUGCUACCAUACUAAGAUGCUUAUGAAAAUGAUUCCGUUUAUUGUAUUCGAUUAGUUACACAUCUGUGACGACAACACCACUAAAACAAAUGAAGGAUUGGCAAAUUGGAAACAUAAGGGGUUGCGUUACACAACAUCUCAGGGCGUUCUUUGCUGGAAAAAAGAUGGUCAGCUGUUAAUACGCGAGUGCGAUACCAACUCUGGUCAUUGGCUUCCAAAAGCAGUAGAGUGCAACGAGAAAAAAAAUAAAAAUGUAUUUUGUCCGGAUAACCUCUUUGAAAUUCAACAAAAUGAUGAUGACCCGAUUUGUUUAAAAAUUUCAACUCUGC